rnacentral:rRNA from 1 species
GAUGAACGCUAGCGGCAGGCUUAAUACAUGCAAGUCGAACGGGAUUCGGGGUAGCAAUACUUUGAUGAGAGUGGCGCACGGGUGCGUAACGCGUAUGCAACCUACCUUUAACAGGGGAAUAGCCCCGAGAAAUCGGGAUUAAUACUCCGUAACAUUGCGGUGUGGCAUCACACUGCAAUUAAAGAUUUAUCGGUUAAAGAUGGGCAUGCGUGACAUUAGCUAGUUGGUGAGGUAACGGCUCACCAAGGCAACGAUGUCUAGGGGUCCUGAGAGGGUUAUCCCCCACACUGGUACUGAGACACGGACCAGACUCCUACGGGAGGCAGCAGUAAGGAAUAUUGGUCAAUGGGCGCAAGCCUGAACCAGCCAUGCCGCGUGCAGGAAGACGGCCCUAUGGGUUGUAAACUGCUUUUAUCAGGGAAUAAACCCCCGCUCGUGAGCGGGGCUGAAGGUACCUGAAGAAUAAGCAUCGGCUAACUCCGUGCCAGCAGCCGC